rnacentral:snRNA from 1 species
GUGCUUGCUUUGGCAGCACAUAAUUAAAACUGGAAUGAUACAGAGAUUAACAUGAGCCCUGAGCAAGGGUAACAGACAAACUUGGGGGGGGGGGUCCAUACCUUC